rnacentral:rRNA from 1 species
GACGAACGCUGGCGGCGUGCUUAACACAUGCAAGUCGAACGGAAAGGCCCUGCUGUUGUGGGGUGCUCGAGUGGCGAACGGGUGAGUAACACGUGAGUAACCUGCCCUUGACUUUGGGAUAACUUCAGGAAACUGGGGCUAAUACCGGAUAGGAGCCCCUGCUGCAUGGUGGGGGUUGGAAAGGUUCGGCGGUUGGGGAUGGACUCGCGGCUUAUCAGCUUGUUGGUGGGGUAGUGGCUUACCAAGGCAUUGACGGGUAGCCGGCCUGAGAGGGUGACCGGCCACAUUGGGCCUGAGAUACGGCCCAGACUCCUACGGGAGGCAGCAGUGGGGAAUAUUGCACAAUGGGCGGAAGCCUGAUGCAGCAACGCCGCGUGCGGGAUGACGGCCUUCGGGUUGUAAACCGCUUUCGCCUGUGACGAAGCGUGAGUGACGGUAAUGGGUAAAGAAGCACCGGCUAACUACGUG